UACGGGGGGAGCAAGCGUUGUUCGGAUUUACUGGGCGUAAAGGGCGCGUAGGCGGCCACCGCAAGUCGACUGUGAAAUCUCCGGGCUUAACUCGGAAAGGUCAGCCGAUACUGCGGGGCUAGAGUGCAGAAGGGGCAACUGGAAUUCUCGGUGUAGCGGUGAAAUGCGUAGAUAUCGAGAGGAACACCUGCGGCGAAGGCGGGUUGCUGGGCUGACACUGACGCUGAUUGUGCGAAAUCUAGGUGAGCGAACGGG
rnacentral:rRNA from 1 species